GACUCCGAGUGCCCGUUAAAUCGGGCUGUCCAUUGGUUUAAAUAACCAGUGAAGAAAGGGCCGGGCAAGACCGGUGCCAGCCGCCGCGGUAAUACCGGCGGCUCGAGUGGUGGCCACUAUUACUGGGCUUAAAGCGUUCGUAGCUGGUUUGUUAAGUCUCUGGGGAAAUCUUCCGGCUUAACCGGAAGGCGUCUCAGGGAUACUGGCAGACUAGGGACCGGGAGAGGUGAGGGGUACUCCAGGGGUAGGAGUGAAAUCCUGUAAUCCUUGGGGGACCACCUGUGGCGAAGGCGCCUCACCAGAACGGCUCCGACAGUGAGGGACGAAAGCUGGGGGAGCAAACCGGAUUAGAUACCCGGGUAGUCCCAGCUGUAAACGAUGCGCGUUAGGUGUAUCGG
rnacentral:rRNA from 1 species